GAUUAACGCUGGCGGCGUGCCUAACACAUGCAAGUCGAGCGGCAGCGAGUUUUACACUGAAUUCUGGAAGCUUCUAGUUGAAAGAGAAGAUUUAUUCAAGAAUUUUGUGUAAAAUGUCGGCGAGCGGCGGACGGCUGAGUAACGCGUGGGAACGUACCCCAAAGUGAGGGAUAACGCAUCGAAAGGUGUGCUAAUACCGCAUAUGGUCUUCGGAUUAAAGCCUUCGGGCGCUUUGGGAACGGCCUGCGUAAGAUUAGAUAGUUGGUGGGGUAAUGGCCUAACAAGGCGACGAUCUUUAACUGGUGUGAGAGGAUGAUCAGUCAGACUGGAACUGAGACACGGUCCAGACUCCUACGGGAGGCAGCAGUGAGGAAUCUUCCACAAUGGGCGAAAGCCUGAUGGAGCAACGCCGCGUGCAGGAUGAAGGCCUUCGGGUUGUAAACUGCUUUUAUAAGUGAGGAUUAUGACAGUAACUGAUGAAUAAGGAUCGGCUAACUACGUG
rnacentral:rRNA from 1 species